rnacentral:tRNA from 1 species
GUUAGAGUGGCAGAGUCCGGUAAUUGCAAAAGGCUUAAGCCCUUUCAGCCAGGGGUUCAACUCCCCUCCCUAACU